AACGAACGCUAAUACCGCAUAAUGCAGCGGCAUCGCGAGAUGACAGUUGUUAAAGAUUUAUCGCUUGAAGAGGAGCUUGCGGCAAAUUAGCUAGUUGGUAAGGUAACGGCUUACCAAGGCGACGAUCUGUAUCCGGUCUAAGAGGACGGUCGGACACACUGACACUGAAUAACGGGUCACACUCCUACGGGAGGCAGCAGUCGGGAAUUUUGGGCAGUGGGCGAAAGCCUGAUCCUUCACCCCCGCGUGAAGGAUGAAUUUUUUCGGAAUGUAAACUUCGUAAGAAUAGGAAGAAUAAAUGACGGUACUAUUUGUAAGGUCCGGCUAACUACGUGCCAGCAGCCGCGGUAAUACGUAAGGACCAAGCGUUGUUCGGAUUUACUGGGCGUAAAGGGCGCGUAGGCGGCAAUUCAAGUCAGCUGUGAAAUCUCCGGGCUUAACUCGGAACGGUCAGCUGAUACUGCUUUGCUAGAGUGCAGAGGGGGCAAUCGUAUUUCUUGGUUGUAGCGGUGAAAUGCGUAUAUAUCAAGAAGGAACACCUGAAGGUGAAGACGGGUUGCUUGGGCUGACCCUGACGCUGAGGCCCGAAAGCUUGGGGUACCAAACGGGAUUACACUACCCCCGGUAGU
rnacentral:rRNA from 1 species